rnacentral:rRNA from 1 species
UAAACCAUGCACCGAAGCUGCGGCAGCGACACUAUGUGUUGUUGGGUAGGGGAGCGUUCUGUAAGCCUGCGAAGGUGUGCUGUGAGGCAUGCUGGAGGUAUCAGAAGUGCGAAUGCUGACAUAAGUAACGAUAAAGCGGGUGAAAAGCCCGCUCGCCGGAAGACCAAGGGUUCCUGUCCAACGUUAAUCGGGGCAGGGUGAGUCGACCCCUAAGGCGAGGCCGAAAGGCGUAGUCGAUGGGAAACAGGUUAAUAUUCCUGUACUUGGUGUUACUGCGAAGGGGGGACGGAGAAGGCUAUGUUAGCCGGGCGACGGUUGUCCCGGUUUAAGCAUGUAGGCUGGUUAUCCAGGCAAAUCCGGAUAAUCAAGGCUGAGGUGUGAUGACGAGGCACUACGGUGCUGAAGUAACAAAUGCCCUGCUUCCAGGAAAAGCCUCUAAGCAUCAGGUAACAUCAAAUCGUACCCCAAACCGACACAGGUGGUCAGGUAGAGAAUACCAAGGCGCUUGAGAGAACUCGGGUGAAGGAACUA